rnacentral:lncRNA from 1 species
UAUGGGGGAGUUUUUGGAAAUGAGAGGAGGCUCAGGGAAUUAUAGGCAACCAAGAUUCUCAAGGCCAAACCCAACAGCGAUACUGAUAAUACAUGUGUGCUUACUAUCCAGUUUUUAAAUUUUCUCAUGCAAUACUAAUCUCAUUGCUUUUGUAUGUCAGAUUUUAAAAUAGAGCAUGCUUAAUAUACUUCAGAUGUCUGCAAGGGGAACAGCAGCAAAUACCACAGUCCCAUGGUAAAUAUAAGGGAAAAUUUGGACUCAGACAGCAAAGCUCCCUUUGGAUGACAUAGAUUUAUUACUUAGUAGUAUAUUAUGUAUUGGCUGUCCCACAUUUUGAAAUUUAAUGGACUCGUGGUGAUCAGAAUAAAAGGUCAGUAUUUCCUACAAUAUGUUGAUACGUUAAAGGCAGAACUAACACCUCAUUUUCUAAGCAGAACUAUUAUCUUAUUAAAUGUCUAAGUUGACAUUUCUUGCCAAUUUUUUUUUACUUAAUGUAACAGUGCUGUUUCAAAUACUAGUCAUUAUUUAAUAACUAAAAUGGAAUGCUGAAGAAUUUUAUGCUAUGACAUAAAAUGCCGUAUUUUUUCCCCAAAUAUCUUGAAAAAGGCAAUGAGUCAUGACAAAUAUUUCUUUUCUUCUCAAUAUAGAAGCCUUCGAUGUGAGGCCCAGGCAUUGAGUACCAUGUGUGCGAUUCACAAGCCUUGGCAUCUGAACAAUUUUUUGGAAGGAUCCAUCAGGACAACACGUCGGGGGUGUACUAGUGAAGUGAUUUUCCAAAUGUGCUACUCAGACCUGUAGCAUCAGCAUCACCGGAUAAUUUGUUAGAAAUUCCAACUGUUAGGCCCCACUUUAGACCAACUGAAUGUGAAACUCUGGGAGUACGUGGGGCCCAGCAAUUUGUGUUUUUACAAGACUUACCAGGUGAUUCUGAGAACCACUGUGCUAGUGAAUUGUUCCUGUCUGUGGCCACGUAGAAUAAGAAAACCAUAGGGUUGGAAAAUGGGGAAACUGGUGAGUGUUCGCUU